CGCGUAGGCGGUCCCGCACGUCGGAGGUGAAAUCCCCGGGCUCAACCCGGGAGCUGCCUUCGAUACGGCGGGGCUUGAGUCCGGGAGAGGGGAGCAGAAUUCCCAGUGUAGCGGUGAAAUGCGUAGAUAUUGGGAGGAAUACCGGUGGCGAAGGCGGCUCCCUGGACCGGUACUGACGCUGAGGCGCGAAAGCGUGGGUAGCAAACAGGAUUAGAUACCCUGGUAGUCCACGCCGUAAACGAUGGGUGCUUGGUGUCGGGGGUAUCGACCCCUCCGGUGCCGAAGCUAACGCAUUAAGCACCCCGCCUGGGGAGUACGGUCGCAAGGCUGAA
rnacentral:rRNA from 1 species